UCCCUGGAGAGGAUUUGGGGACUUCAGGAGCUCCUUGGAGAAGGUUUGGGGGGGCUCAGGGGCUCCCUGAAGAAGGUUUGGGGGUUCCUCUGCUCCCUGGAGAGGAUUUGGGGGCUCAGGGGCUCCCUGAAGAAGGUUUGAGGAUUUCAGGUGUUCCCUGGAGAGUUUCAGGGGUUCAGGCGCUCCCUGGAGAGAAUUUGAGGACUUCAGGUGCUCCCUGGAGAAGGUUCUGGGGUUCAGGGGCUCCCUGGAGGGGUUCAGGGGCUCCCUGAAGAAGGUUUGAGGACUUCAGGUGUUCCCUGGAGAGGUUUGGGGGCUCAGGCUCUCCCUGGAGAAGGUUCCGGAUUUCAGGAGCUCCCUGGAGAAGGUUUGGGGGCUCAGGAGCUCCCUGGAGGGGUUCAGGAGCUCCCUGGAGAAGGUUUGGGGGUUCAGGGGCUCCCUGGAGAAGGUUUGGGGGCUCAGGAGCUCCCUGGAGUGGAUCUGAAGACCUUGGGUGUUCCCUGGAGAGGAUUUGGGGGUUCAGGGGCUCCCUGAAGAAGGUUUGGGGGGGGGCUCAGGUGCUCCCAGGAGAGUUUCAGGUGUCCAGACGCUCCGUGGAGAGAAUUUGAGGACUUCAGGUGCUCCCUGGAGAAUUUCAGGGGUUCCCGGGCUCCCUGAAAAAGGUUUGGGGGUUCAGGUGCUCCCUGGAGAAGGUUUGGGGGUUCCCCUGCUCUGUGGAGAGGAUUUUGGGGCUCAGGUGUUCCGUGGAGAGGAUUUGGGGGUUCAGGUUCUCCCUGGAGAGGAUUUGGGGGUUCAGGUUCUCCCUGGAGAGGAUUUGGGGGUUCAGGAGCUCUGUGCCCUGCUCUGGGGCUCCCUGGGCAGGGAGUGCCCAGCCUGGUGCCCGCUCUGGCCAGGCAGCUGCUGGUGGGUGGC